rnacentral:rRNA from 1 species
UGGGGAAUAUUGCGCAAUGGGCGAAAGCCUGACGCAGCAACGCCGCGUGAGUGAUGAAGGCCUUCGGGUUGUAAAGCUCUGUCAGAAGGAACGAAUUCUUCCCAGGAACAAUACCCUGGGAAAUUGACGGUACUUUCAGAGGAAGCACCGGCUAACUCCGUGCCAGCAGCCGCGGUAAUACGGAGGGUGCUAGCGUUGUUCGGAAUUACUGGGCGUAAAGCGUGCGCAGGCGGUUCUAUAAGACAGAUGUGAAAUCCCCGGGCUUAACCUGGGAACUGCGUUUGUGACUGUAGGACUCGAGUGUGGCAGAGGGGGGUGGAAUUCCACGUGUAGCAGUGAAAUGCGUAGAGAUGUGGAGGAACACCGAUGGCGAAGGCAGCCCCCUGGGUCAACACUGACGCUCAUGCACGAAAGCGUGGGGAGCAAACAGG